rnacentral:lncRNA from 1 species
ACCUAAUUGCCACCCCUAAGAGCGAGUGUCCUAUGGAAAAUAGGCUGCAAUCCAACUAAUAUAGAGGUUCUAUAGAUCACCAUUGGACAAGGAAUAUUUAGGUUCAAGCACAAAAUGAUCCACAGCUCAGAGGCCAAACGACAUGAAAGAAAUAGAUGAUUAACCAUUUCUGAAGGAUCAGAGCAACUGGGACAACGACCGAGGGAAUCGCCUAUUCUUUCAAAAUGUUUCCCUUGGUAU